GUGACCCGCGGCCCUGCGCGACCCGCGCUCGGCGCCCCGGCUCCGCGCGCCUCUGCCGAGCCAGCCCCUCGGGUCCCCGGUCCCAGGAGUUCGCGGUGACCUGCGCGCGUGCGGGGCCCCGGCCCCGGCCCCGGCCCCGGCCCCCGCCCUCAGCCCCGGGCGGAGCAAAGGGAAAAGCCGCCGAGGACGGAGGGGCGCACCCCGGGGGCCGACUCAGAGCCUGCCAGCCUCCCGGGGCGCUGGACCAAUGCUGGGCGCUCGAUACGCGCAGAAGUCGGGGAAGAAGAGCAGGUCAGCGCGGGGCGCCUGAGGCGGGUCCCUGAGGAGAAGGGCUGUGAGUGUCGGAAACACCGAGACGCGAGAACGCGGAGGCCAAGCUUUUAGGGACACUGAACGUUCGGGACAGGAUAUAAUUAGAGCCGGCAGUUUUGAGGGACAGUUCGCCGGAAUUAUCCUCCUAACCGUAUGAGAUUCAUGUGCUCCCAGCUGCCCAAUCAGGUCCUGAAGAACAUCAGCAUCAUUGACAGCCCUGGAAUCCUGUUUGGGGAGAAGCACCGCAUCAGCCGAGGUCAGUGUCCACCCCAGGCCCAUCCCUACUCCGGGGCUGCUGAGGCUCACUGUCAGGCAGCAGAGGAUUUCUGUCUCUAGAGGAUUCUGUCCACCCCCAGGAUGCCUUCAGCAUCCCUGGACAGCCUGGGGGUCCGAGAAACAAUUGGGAGGCAUAGAUAGCAUCAGAGGUUCUGCAUUUAUAUGGUAAAUGCAUGUUUAUAUAGUCCCAAUUUAAGAGCCUCUUGUGCUCUAGGCAUUGUUAUCUUUUGAGAUCAUUUGUAGUAACCUAUAUACAUGUUAAAAUAUACAAUCAUAUUCCAAAUCAAAUAUCAUAAUUCACUAUAAAAAUGUUGAAUUUUGUGUAAUUUUUCUUUUGAAAUUAUUAAGCUACAAGCAAGUAAUGUUUAAUGUGUGUUUGGUUAUCAUUUCCCAAAAAUUAUCAUACAAUUUUGUGAAUUUUGUAUAAAAUGAAAUUAAAUGUCACUUUCAAAUACUUUUUUUUCUUCUUGUUAACACAGUGUUACAUUAGUUUCAGGUGCACAAUAUAAUAAUUCAGCACUUCCAUGCAAUACCCGGUGCUCACCACAAGUGCACUCCUUCAUCCCCAUCAUCUAUUUCACCUGUCCCCCACCCAUGUCCACUUCAGUAACCAUCAGUUUGUUCUCUAUAGUUAAGAGUCUGUUUCUUUUCUUUUCUUUUUUUUUUUUUUUAAGAUUUUUAAGUAAUCUCCAUACCCAACAUGAGGUUCAAACCUACAACCCUGAGAUCAAGAAUCACAUGCUCCACUAACUGAGCCAGCCAGGAUCCCAAGAGUCUGUUUCUUAUUUUGUCUCUUUCUCUCUCUUUAACCCUCAAAUAUUUUUCAAAUGUAAUUAAACUGCUUUUGAAUACUAAUUACAUAAUUAAUGAGCUUCAUGUGUUACAUGUGUAGACAUUUAAUUGUUCUAUUUAUUUCCAAAGAAUUGAUUACACACAAACAUAACUUUUGUUUUAGAUGUAAUAUUUUUUAAAUUAUAUGGAAAACAAAUCAACCAAUCCAGAAAAAUAUAAAUAAAAAAAUCAAAUCCUUUUUUCCUAUCA
rnacentral:lncRNA from 1 species